CCGCCAGAGUACUACGAAUAUAGCUUAAAACUCAAAGGACUUGGCGGUGCCCCACCCAACCAGAGGAGCCUGUUCUAUAAUCGAUAAUCCACGCUAAACCUCACCACUUUUUGUUAUUACAGUUUAUAUACCACCGUCAUCAAUUAACCUUGUGAAAGAAAUUUAGUUGAUAAAAUUAAUAAUACUAAGUACGUCAGGUCAAGGUGUAGCAUAUAAAGUGGAAAGAAAUGGGCUACAUUUUCUUAAAAAGAAAACACGAAUUAAUGUUAUGAAAAAACACUUGAAGGCGGAUUUGGAAGUAAAAAGAAACAAGAAUAUUCUUUUUAAUUAGGAUAUGAGGCGCGC
rnacentral:rRNA from 1 species